AUACGGGGGGUGCAAGCGUUAAUCGGAAUUACUGGGCGUAAAGCGCGCGUAGGCGGUUUGCUCAGUCGGAUGUGAAAGCCCAGGGCACAACCUUGGAACUGCAUACGAUACUGGCAAACUAGAGUGUGAGAGAGGAUAGUGGAAUUUCCGGUGUAGCGGUGAAAUGCGUAGAUAUCGGAAGGAACAUCAGUGGCGAAGGCGACUGUCUGGCUCAACACUGACGCUGAGGUGCGAAAGCGUGGGUAGCAAACAGGAUUAGAAACCCUAGUAGUCC
rnacentral:rRNA from 1 species